UUUCCGUAGGUGAACCUGCGGAAGGAUCAUUAAAAAAUGUGGUACCAAUUAUUGGUACUAAUUAAUCAUCCUACCCUUUGUGAAUUUGUUUGUAACGAAUUUUUUUUAAAUGGGUCUUUCCCUAAGUUGGAUUGUAGUAAAAUACAAAAAAGACUUAGGGGAAUGACUUUUUUUAAAAGACUUUUGUUUUAAAUUAAAACUUUUUGUAUUCACUUGUCUAAAAUUUAUUUUUAUAAUAUAAAACAACUUUUGACAAUGGAUCUCUUGGUUCUCGCAACGAUGAAGAACGCAGCAAAAUGCGAUAAGUAGUGUGAAUUGCAGAAUACGUGAAUCAUCGAAUCUUCGAACGCAUAUUGCACUUUUUUAGUUUACUAAAAAAGUAUGUCUGUUUGAGUAUCAGUAAAAUAUUCUCACAAACAUAUAUUGUUUGUGGUUAUGAGUGUUUUACAACGAUAAACAAGUUGUUUCACUUUAAAUUCUUUUUAAUUGAAUUUUUACCAAUUCAUAAAUUAAAAUUGGAUAAAAUUUUCCUUUAACGAGGAAUAACCUAAACAAUUUUAAAUUUUAUGGAUUAAUAAACAUUCAUCAAAGGAAUCUAAUUAUACAUAAAUAACUUGAUCUCAAAUCAGAUAAGAGUACCCGCUGAACUUAAGCAUAUCAAUAAGCGGAGGAAAAGAAACUAACAAGAUUCCCUUAGUAACGGCGAGUGAAGCGGGAAGAGCUCAAAUUUGAAAUCUUCAAGGUUUGACCUUGACGAAUUGUAGUUUAUAGAAGUGUUUUCUGUUGGAGUUUUGGUAAAAGUUCUUUGGAAUAGGACAUCAUAGAGGGUGAGAAUCCCGUAUUUGACCAUGACUUUCCAGCUGUGUGAUACACUUUCAAAGAGUCGGAUUGUUUGGGAAUGCAGUCCAAAAUGGGUGGUAAAUUUCAUCUAAAGCUAAAUAUUGGCGAGAGACCGAUAGCGAACAAGUACCGUGAGGGAAAGAUGAAAAGAACUUUGAAAAGAGAGUUAAACAGUACGUGAAAUUGUCAAAAGGGAAGCGUUUGACACCAGUGUUGUUUUCUCGAAAAUCAAUUUAAUGAGUUCUUGUUUUUAAGUUAUUGUGACUUUAUCAGCGCAUUUCUUAUUUUACUUGACUCAUUGAAUGCACUUUUCGUUUAACAAGUCAACAUCAAUUUCUUUGGUGGUAAAAAGUUUAAAGGAAGGUGGCUUGGACUUCGGUUCAAGUGUUUAUAGCCUUUUUUCUAUGCCAUCGGAGGAUUGAGGUCUGCAGCGUAGAUCCUUCGGGUUAGAUACCUUUGUGCUAAGUUAUAGUUUUUUAUAGACAACUUGUUGACUAUAGUUAACCCUGUAAUUUACUCGCUUAGGCUAUUUUACCUACGCUUAGGAUGUUG
rnacentral:misc_RNA from 1 species